UACGUAGGGUGCGAGCGUUGUCCGGAAUUAUUGGGCGUAAAGAGCUCGUAGGCGGUUUGUCGCGUCUUCCGUGAAAACUGGGGGCUUAACUUCCAGCUUGCGGUGGAUACGGGCCUGACGUGAGUGCGGCAGGGGAGACUGGAAUUCCUGGUGUAGCGGUGAAAUGCGCAGAUAUCAGGAGGAACACCGGUGGCGAAGGCGGGUCUCUGGGCCGAUACUGACGCUGAGGAGCGAAGCGUGGGAGCGAACAGG
rnacentral:rRNA from 1 species